CGCCCCCAGUAUCGCGUCGCGUCGCGUCAAAUCAGACGCUUGCUGCGCCGCCUACGGAAGUUUUACAGACUAUUUCUGCGUGUUUCAGUGGAUUGGAGAAACACUCAACGACCGGAGCGAUACAACGAGGCUCUGUCGCAGACGCGCGUAGGUUUUAUUCCAGCGAUGAUUCCCUGAGCUCGUCCCAUGGAGAAGAAGUCCUGCAGUGUAUUCCUGCAGUCCGGCUCUCCGAUCAUGUCCUUCGUCCCGCCAGAGAGUUCCCAGUCUGUGUCCGAUUGGCUGAGUGGCCUCCGGCUCGACCAGUACCGCCCGGCCUUCCAGGAGGCGGGGCUGGGAACGCUGUGGGAGUGUCAGGAUCUAAGCUCCGCCCAGUUGCAGCGAAUGGGCGUGGCUCUGCCCGGCCACAGGAAGCGGAUCCUCGGCAGCCUGCACAAGCUCCUCCCCUCGGCGGCGGGAGCGGAGGAGGAUGAGGAGCAAGAGGAGGACAGACCCGUCGCCCGAGAGAGGACCAAAUUCAGAGCGUUGGACGAAAACCAGCGAACGGAAAACAGUGUCGCAGGUAGACGCCCGCCUCCCGUCCCGCCUCGAGUCACGCCCAAUCGACCUCCCGUUCCCUUCACGCCCCGUCCUGAGCCUAUCAGCAUCCCUGAACAAAAUGAAAUGCCUACACCUUACGAACGAACCAAGCCCAUCCCAACUCCCAGGCCACGCCCAGAACACCUGCCUCUUAAAGGGCCGGCGCAGCAACUCCAGAAGAGCGAGAGGAAAUCGUCUCCUGUUUCUCCCUCUUCCUCCUCCUCCUCCUCCUCCUCAUCAGAGCGCUUCCACCUGUACGAACAGUGUUCAUCUCCUGCUCAGGGAGAAAUGGGUGCUCCUCCUCUUCCUCCUAAGAGCUACACUGUGGGCGUGUCUAAAGAGCCCAUAGACGGCCCGUACAGACCCCCUGUUCCCCCUCCUCGUGUCUCCGCCUGCUCCCGGACUACCAAUCCCAGACGCACAUCAUCCAGAAGCCCGCCCACAUCCAGCGCUCCUGUAGAUGAUCCGUCAGACACAGAUCCAGUCCCAGACGUCCCGCCUCGGAUCAUCAGACCUCCGAACCAGAGCCGAAGGAGAGACGUCCCACCGCCGCCCAACAGAAACCAGUUGGAUUCCGAUGAAAGUUCAGAUGAAUAUGACGAGCGAGAACCCAGCAGAGACGCUAAACUCAUAGACAUGGCCAGCAAGAUGUCGCUGAUGGUUCCGAAGGCGCCGAAACCUCGUUACAGCAGCCUGUGCAGCGACGACGAGCUUCUAGACGAUGACACCAGCUGUGACGAAUCUGAAUCCCUGCAACGGAGUUCAUGGAUCGGAGAUUUGGCUUCGAUCUCUGGUUCUAUGACCAGCAUCUACCUGCCAAUCACAAGCCAGGACAAUGCUCCGCCCCCUCGGGAAGACUCCGCCCCUACCAGCGUCCCCGUGAUUAAAAUGGGCUGGCUGUACAAGAAUCCUCCUCAGGGGUCUCUGAUCUACCAGCACCGCUGGGUCAAACUGGAUGCUGAAUACCUGAGAUACUUCGACACUGAGAAGGACGUCUACUCGAAGAGGAUCAUACCUACACUGUCCAUCACUGGUGUGGUCAAUGUGGGAGAGCAGAAGUUUGAAGUGGUGACGCACAAUCGCACUUUCCUGUUCCGAGCCGAGAACGACUCGGAGCGGAGCGAGUGGGUCACUGUGUUGAAGAGCUGUGUCCGAACCACCAGUCUUGACGUGACCUUUAACCCCUGUGUGAGCUACGAGAUGAGGGGUUACCUGGAGCUGCGCGGCCUGCGCUCCAAACUCUACACCGUGGUGUGUGCGGAUAAAGUCUUCCUCUACAAAAACAUGGAGGAAUAUCGUCUGGGGAUCGGCAUCACCUCGAUUGAUAUGAAUGUUGGUAAUGUGAAGGAAGUGGAUCGGAGAGCGUUUGAUCUGACCACACCGUACCGUAUAUUCAAUUUUGUAGCAGAUACGGAUCAGCUGAAGGAUCAGUGGGUGGAGGCCAUGCGCAACUCUAUCGCAGAGGCCUUGUCCAAUUACGAAGUGGCUGAGCGGAUCUGGGCGGAGCCGUCCAAUCAGAUGUGUGCUGACUGCAGCGCUGCCAAACCUGAGUGGGCCGCCAUCAACCUGGCCGUGGUUUUCUGCAAGCGAUGUGCAGGAGAGCAUCGUGGUCUCGGUCCGAGCGUGUCUAAAGUACGCAGUCUCAAAAUGGACAAGAAGGUCUGGACUGAAGAUCUCAUCCAGCUGUUCCUCACUGUAGGAAACGAACGAGCCAAUCAGUUUUGGGCGGCGAACGUCCCGCCCAGCGAGGCCUUGACCCUGAACAGCAGCAGCGAGGAGCGACGUCGAUUCAUCACCGCAAAAUACCGCGAGGGCAAAUACCGCCGAUAUCACCCGCUGUUCGGAAACCAGAGAGAACUCAAUAACGCGCUGUGCAUUAACGUCCAGUCGAGCGAUGUGUGUGAGACGCUGGCGCUGGUGUUCUGCGGUGCUGAUGUGAGCUGUGACACCGGUGACCCCGAGCUGACCUCCCCGAUCGCUCUGGCACAACACCACGGACAGAACCUGCAGCUGGAGUUCCUCACGCAGAACCGCAACACAGAACUCCCGAGGUCAGAGGUGAAGGUCGCCAUAGAUAGGGUGCACUACAUGGCCCCGCCCUCCGUCACGCAUAAUGGGUUUCUAUUUAAGACUGCCUCCAUGGCUCGACCAAUCACAGAGAAGAAGGGAAAAGAAGAGUUCAGUCGGCGCUGGUGUGUGCUGAAUGAUGGGAAUUUUAGCUACUAUGAAAGUGACAAAAACGCUACGCCGAACGGAGGACUGAAGAUGAAGGAGAUCGUCUGUCUGGCUGUCAGCCCCCCUGAGACUCAUGGGUACGAUCACACGUUUGAGCUGUACUCGGACGCCGAGCGCUUGUAUCUGUUCGGCACUGAUAAUCCCGAGACCAUGCGCGAGUGGGUCAAAUCCAUCGCAAAGUCGUUCAUUCCUGCGGCUGCGGAGGAUCUGUUACUGAAGGACUUCGAGCGCAUCGGCCGGCUGCGUUAUAAAGACAGACUGAACCGGGAGAUGUCCAGACUGGGCUGGUUCUGUCUGGUGGGGUCCAGCCUGCACAUCCGGCUGGAGGAGCACACCGCAGACGAGACCAUCGACCUGCAGAAGCUCCUUGAGCUCUCGAUCCAGCCGGAGAACGAGGUUCUGGUUCUGGUGGAGCGAGGCAGGACGCUGUACAUCGAGGGCGAGAGGAAGCUGGACUUCCAGGGCUGGGCGGCUGCCAUCCAGAGGGCUGCUGGGAGUUCUGGAGACACACUGAGUCAGCAGCAGCUGACGGAGGCCGAUAUUCCCGUGAUCGUGGAGCGCUGCAUUCACUUCACCACACAAUACGGUCUGACCUCAGAGGGAAUCUAUCGUAAGAGUGGUGUGAACAGUAAGAUCGCCGCCCUGCUGGAGGAGUUCAGACGCGACGCCAGGUGUGUUUGGCUGAAGGAAGGUGAACAUCAGGUGGAUGACGUCUCUAACGUCCUCAAGCGCUUCUUCAGAGACAUCGAGGAGGGAUUGUUUGGGCAGCAGGCGCACAGCUGGCUCAGUGCUACAGUGUUUUCAGAUGAGAGCAGUCGGAUCUGUCAGUAUCGUCUUCUGUUCAGUAACCUUCCCCGAGUCAACCAGGCCACACUACGAGCGCUAGUUAAUCAUUUAUACUGCGUCCAGCGGUUUGCAGAUCUCAAUCAGAUGAAUCUUCACAAUCUGGCCAUCGUGUUCGGCCCGAGUCUCUUCCAGGCGGACGGGAAGGACAACAGCGCCGGACGGGUCAUCGAGGAUCUCAUCCAACACUACGUCACUAUAUUCGAUGUGAACGAGCAGCAGCUGAAGAAGCAGUUAGAUGAGAUCACAUACAUCAUAAAGCUCAGAGACAACCUCGCGCCUAAAGCAGGAACGGGCAGUGGUGAUUUUAUCUGUACAGUUUAUCUGGAGGAGAAGAAGGAAACCGCCGAACAGCAUGUAAAGAUUCCCGCCACGAUGACGGCCGCAGAACUGACCUUCGAGAUCCUGGACAGACGGAAAAUCAGCGUUAAGGAGAAAGACUACUGGUGCUGCUUCGAGGUGAAUGAGAAAGAGGAGAUGGAGCGGCCGCUGCACUAUCAGGAGAAAGUGCUGCCCAUCUUUCAUUCUCUGGGCACUGACAGUUAUCUGCUGGUCAAGAAGCACUUCUCCAUGGAGGCCAUGCUGGUCUAUCUGGCCAGUAAAGUGGAGGUGUCCAAACACGGGAUGAUGAAGUUCAGAGAGGAGAGGAGUCUGCUGGGGUUGAGCACCGGGAGCUUCAAUGACCGAUACUUCAUCCUGAACAGCACCUCGCUCAGACUCUAUAAAGAAGUCCGGAAUCUGCACAAGCUGCAGAGUCCAGAGCUGCAGUGUAGUAAUCGUCCUGAGAGAGAGUGGCCCGUCAAGUGUCUGAAAGUCUAUCAAGGCAUUAAAAAGAAGCUCCGUCCACCGACAUGUUGGGGUCUCACAGUCAUCUAUGAGAGUGAGAAACAGGAAAAGCAGGAGAGACAGCAGUGGUAUCUCUGCUGUGACACACAGAAUGAAAUGAGGGAAUGGUUCGCUACCUUCAUGAGCAUACAGUGCGGAGGUCGUGUUUGGCCGGCGGAGUGGUUGAAGUCUCGUGCGGUGACUCACUCUGCGCCGCAGGACGCUCGCUUGGGUAACGUGUCUCUGAUUCCUCUGCGGGGCAGUGAGAACGAGAUGAGGAAAAGUGUCGCCGCUUUCACAGCUGAUCCACUCGCCCUCUUCAGAGAUGUUUGACGGAGUGAAUGUUGUUCAGGAACUGAAGGUGUGUGCGGGUCACAGUCACAUCGGGCCGUCGAUCGCUCAGAUCUGGAUCAGUUCAGUCCGUCUGGAUCUUCUCUCUCACUUUGACCUUCACAGAGGUGACCGCACGCUUCAGCACAGGUCAUUCUGGGACAUCAGACUGUUACUGGACUCCAUUCUCGUGGAUCAUUGUGAUGCUGAAGGCUGGGAUGUAUUCUGUUUUUAUAUAUGUGUUCAGAAGCUGUUCACCGGACUGCAGCGUCACACGUGAAGCGUUUAGUGUCCAUCUAACCCACUUAAACACUCGAGGCGUCUGCUCGGACCAAACCGACUCAUGUCUGACACACACGUGUGUUUUCUGUUUAACCUACACACUUUUACAGACUUUAUAACUUAUUCAGCCUGUUUUAAUGUCAAUCAAACAGAAUCACAUCAAGAACUUUAAAGGUCAAAGCACACAGAUCAGUCCAUAGAGAGAAUGUGUGUGUGUAUGUGUGUGUGUGUGUGUGUGUGUGUGUGAGU